UAGAGAAGCGGGACAGACAUAUAAACAAAGAGCUAUGUAGUCUGGGACACUCAAGCUCCUAUCCUUGCUCGUAGAAGAUCCAACUAUUUGCCCCACAAGCAAACACCCACACAAUUAAAUAUCCACAUAAAUUACUAAGUGGUGAAGCUGUACGUAGCAGGCUCCUUUCAAGAACAGGGUUUAAAGGUUUCCACUGAGGAAUGAUGCACAAAUUGCAAGAGGAAGCGUGCAUGGACUGGAGGAUGCAUUAUAUCUCAUCACUUAUUUGGAGACAGCCGCUGUCAACACAAUUGUAUAGACAAUAUUAUUCUUCAGUAAAUAAAAACACACCGUCACAAAAUAUCACCACACAUUUUCCCCUGAACAUUAGUAAACAUGGCAGUUUGCUCUGCCACUGUUUGCAAGUUUACUCUGUGGAGAAAAACACUAAAUAUCUCCUGCUGGUUGCAUUUGCCG
rnacentral:lncRNA from 10 species